CAGCAGCCGCGGUAAUACAGAGGGUGCAAGCGUUAAUCGGAAUUACUGGGCGUAAAGCGCGCGUAGGUGGUUUGCCAAGUUGGAUGUGAAAUCCCCGGGCUCAACCUGGGAACUGCAUCCAAAACUGGCGAGCUAGAGUAUGGUAGAGGGUGGUGGAAUUUCCUGUGUAGCGGUGAAAUGCGUAGAUAUAGGAAGGAACAUCAGUGGCGAAGGCGACCACCUGGACUGAUACUGACACUGAGGUGCGAAAGCGUGGGGAGCAAACAGGAUUAGAUACCCGAGUAGUCCCUGUCUCUUAUAC
rnacentral:rRNA from 1 species